ensembl:lncRNA
CGUAACGGUUUAGCCUAUUGAAACCAAACUUGGUGUAUGUUGUAACAAGCAUAGCCUGAGGCUACCUGCACUGUUUUGGUGCAGUGCCCCCUAGUGGUCAGGAGAUACGAAAAAUGCAUAUUUUUGCACAGAACUUCUGAAUGGUUUGGUCAAAAAUCACAAAACUGGUCUCUUCAGAUUUGGUGCAUCAUGUUGAAUCAAAUGAUACCCAGUUUUCCCAUGUCAGCCAUUUUGGGCGUCGGCCAUUUUGAAUUAUUAACUAAGUUGCUGUAUUUCACAAACCCAUUAGCGUAUCGUUACGACACUAAUUACAAAAAUGUUCGACACCGUGCCCUGAUGGUACUCAAAAACUUUGGGCACAGCGCCACCUUGUGGUCAAAAGUUAUAAAGAAAUUUAACAUAUAUGCUAAUAACGUUUGAAUACAUUGGACUAUUGGAAUGAAACUGGUCUCCCUAAAUUCUUUGGAUCAUGCCGAGACCAUCGUUACCAAUUACGACAAAAUUGGCCAAACUUCCUGUCCGCCAUUUUGAUUCAUGUUGAAAACCUAAUUUGUCAAACUCCUCCUAGACCGUUAGUCCAAUUUUCACCAAAUGUGACUCAGAUCAUCUUCAGACGAUGCUGGCAAAAAGUUAUGGAUUUCGUGUCGAUAUACGAAACGGUUUUCGUUUAGCGCACCAACGAAUUUGCUGGAAGGAUGCCAAAAUGUAUCUGAGGCUGUAUCUCUACACAGAUUUGACAUAUUUACACCAAACUUUGCAUGUGCCAUUGUCACCACAAAUUGAUCACGCCACAUUAAUUUGGUAACAGCGCCACCUAUUGGUAUGGAGUAAUAAACAUUCAUUAAUUCUUAAUUAUUAGCAUUUUUAAAAUUUCAUAACUUUUGAUUGGAUUGACCUAUUGUAAUGAAACUGAUCUUAAAAUAUUUCUUGGGUCAUGCCGACAACAUACAUAUCAAUUAUGUCAUAAUAAGCCGAACUUUCUGUCGGCCAUUUUGAUUUAUGUUGAAAACCUACUUUUUUGAUCUCCUCAUUAACCUUUGGUCCAAUUUUCACCAAAAUCGAGUACAAUCAUCUUCAGACUGUGCUGACAAAAAGUUAUGGAUUUCGUGUCGAUAGACGCAACCGUUUUUGUACAGUGCCUCUAUAAACUUUAAGCACUGUGUCAAAAUGACUCCAAGGCUAUAUCUCUUCAAAGCUUUGACAUACUGACACCAUAUUUUGUAUGUGCAAUAGUCUCCUUACACUGACCAUUCCACACUAAUUUGGUAACAGUGCCACCUACUGGUCAAACAUGAUAAGCCAAUAAAUCCUAUUACUAGUUGUUGUCUUUAUUGUUUUCAAGCCAUUUAGCCUAAAAUAAUCUUAAAACAGUUUUAUUUACUCAUUCCCGCCGUUUGUCUGAAGCUUGCUCCUGUAGUGCUUGGCCCCGUAAUUGCUGCUUGCAGCUAUAUUUAGGGGCCAAGCACCGAAGGUGCGUAGGCACCUAUUGUAUCCGUUGGCGUUAUUAUUAUUCUUCUUCUUCUUCUUCUUCUUCUUCCGCCGCAAGUCUAUGGCAGCCCAUAGAACCGAUUACGGGAAAGUUGUAUAAUUUGGC